rnacentral:sRNA from 1 species
UUGCCAGCCCCGGAGACUGAAGUGCUGUGUUUAUCCACAGAGCAGAGCGAGCGCGGGCGGCGGCAGUGGCAGUGGCAGCCUCCCCCCCCCAGGCUGCCUCCACCCUGUGCCUGAGCGCGGAGGCCGAGGAACCACCUCUGAAGGUGAGAGGGGGUUGUUCAGUCUCCACGCACCGCCGGCUGCCAUGACC